AGAGUUUGAUCCUGGCUCAGGAUGAACGCUGGCGGCGUGCCUAACACAUGCAAGUCGAGCGCGUCUGAUUUGAUGCUUGCAUUAAUGAAAGAUGAGCGGCGGACGGGUGAGUAACGCGUGGGUAACCUGCCCUAUACACAUGGAUAACAUACUGAAAAGUUUACUAAUACAUGAUAAUAUAUAUUUACGGCAUCGUAGAUAUAUCAAAGUGUUAGCGGUAUAGGAUGGACCCGCGUCUGAUUAGCUAGUUGGUGAGAUAACUGCCCACCAAGGCGACGAUCAGUAGCCGACCUGAGAGGGUGAUCGGCCACAUUGGAACUGAGACACGGUCCAAACUCCUACGGGAGGCAGCAGUGGGGAAUAUUGCACAAUGGGCGCAAGCCUGAUGCAGCAACGCCGCGUGAACGAUGAAGGUCUUCGGAUCGUAAAGUUCUGUUGCAGGGGAAGAUAAUGACGGUACCCUGUGAGGAAGCCCCGGCUAACUACGUGCCAGCCGCCGCGGUAA
rnacentral:rRNA from 2 species